UUUUUAAUUGUAAAGCUAGUUUCUUAUAUAUUCUUACGAAGAAACGGACCUUGAUAACAUAUGGAGCGACUGUGUAGAGAAUAAAGCCAGAAAGAGUAUAGACAACAAAAACUAAUACCUGAAGACAAAAUCAAAUAAUAAAGAAUAGUCGAAGUCAAGGAAAGUGUUUUGAGAAAUGAAAAAUAUUUUCACUGGUUUUAGGCACAAUCUUAGGAAAUCAUUGUGCUUCUUAUGUAUGUUUGCUCAACAAAUAAUGCAGAGAUUUCAUUGUCAACGUUUCUGGGAAAAAAGCUAAUGUUGGUGCUGAUGUUCGAACCGAGUUUAGAUCAUUGCAGGUCUUCUUUUCCAGUUGAUUUUGCCAGAAUUAAUAGUUGUAUUUUUCUCGUUUUGGUUUCAUUUUGGUUGUUUUGCGGUUUUGAAAUGAGCGCGUAUUUUCAUCUUCAUGGUUCGCUCUGUACAGCUGAAGGCUUAGUGCAUGUGGUAUUUUUGUAAAUAUUUGUAUGUGGACUGUAUAAAUGUUUAAUGGGCCGGCCCAAAGUAUUUUUGUAAUUUUUUUUCCUUUUUUGUAUUUUUCUGUUUUUU